GAUGAAGAACGUAGCGAAAUGCGAUACAUAAUGUGAAUUGCAAAUUCAGUGAAUCAUCGAGUCUUUGAACGCACAUUGCGCCCCCUGGUAUUCCGGGGGGCAUGCCUGUCCGAGCGUCAUUGCUGCCCUCAAGCACGGCUUGUGUGUUGGGCCCCGUCCUCCGAUCCCGGGGGACGGGCCCGAAAGGCAGCGGCGGCACCGCGUCCGGUCCUCGAGCGUAUGGGGCUUUGUCACCCGCUCUGUAGGCCCGGCCGGCGCUUGCCGAUCAACCCAAAUUUUUAUCCAGGUUGACCUCGGAUCAGGUAGGGAUACCCGCUGAACUUAAGCAUAUCAAUAAGCGGAGGA
rnacentral:misc_RNA from 1 species